rnacentral:lncRNA from 1 species
UUCUACCUCCAAGCUCUUAUCCAUGGCCUCCUAUGGUGGUGAGCUUCUUCUAGACUCAUCUUCUCCUUGAAGUGGCGUCUCCUCUCUCUCUUCCUUCUCCAUUGCACUGUCAUUCAUCUUCCAAGAAGCAAAAGAAUCCAUUUAUGAAGAAGAUUCUAGGCCUACAAGCUCCAAUGGAGCUUACAUCAUGUGGUAUCAAGAG